GUGUCAGCAGCCGCGGUAAGACGGGGGGUCCAAGCGUUGCUCGGAAUCAUUGGGCGUAAAGGGGGCGUAGGUGGCUUUGUAAGUCAGAAGUGAAAGCCCUGGGCUCAACCCGGGAAGUGCUUUUGAUACUGCGAAGCUUGAGUGUGGUAGAGGAUAGUAGAAUUCCUAGUGUAGUGGUGAAAUACGUAGAUAUUAGGAGGAAUACCUGUGGCGAAGGCGGCUAUCUGGACCAACACUGACACUGAGGCCCGAAAGCGUGGGGAUCAAACAGGAUUAGAUACCCUUGUAGUCC
rnacentral:rRNA from 1 species